rnacentral:tRNA from 1 species
GCCUAGGUGGCUCAGUUGGUUGAGCGUCCGACUUUUGAUUUUGGUUCAGGUCAUGAUCUCAACGGUUUGUGAGUUCAAGCCUCACAUUAGGCU